rnacentral:sRNA from 1 species
UCAACACUACAACCAGACUCUCUGUGCC